GCUGAGCUGUAGCCUCCUGGAGGCUCCCAGGAAGAAUCCCUUUCCCUCCUUUCUCCAGCUUCUUAGGUCUCCUUGAAGAGGAUUCCUCACUUCAUCUGCAAAGGUAUAGAGACCCAGGAAAAUAUGUUCCAGAUGACAGAGUACAAGACGGAGGAGAACCAGAUGACUCUCAGAGAAUUUCAUGCCAUAGAGCAUAACAUCCAGAAGGAAGGAACCAAGUCUGCCGAAACCUAACACAAUUCACCGAUGUUGCACUCAGAAAUGC